GAUACGCUGCGAAAAGCCGUGGGGAGCUGCGAAUGAGCUUUGAUCCAUGGAUCUCCGAAUGGGGCAACCCACCUUAAAUACCUAGAAAAUCUGUUUUGUUGCUUUGGUUGCGAGGGACUUCCUUCGUAGCGCAAAGCGCGUCGCCGGUCGUCCGGCGCGCCGUCCGCAGGCCUUCGGCCGUGAGGACAAAACAGGUUUCUAGGUAUUGUUAUAAGGUAUCUGCACCUGAAUAAAAUAGGGUGUAAGAAGCGAACGCAGGGAACUGAAACAUCUAAGUACCUGCAGGAAAGGACAUCAACCGAGACUCCGCAAGUAGUGGCGAGCGAACGCGGACCAGGCCAGUGGCAAUUGUGAUUAAAGUGGAACGCUCUGGAAAGUGCGGCCGUAGUGGGUGACAGCCCCGUACGCGUAGAUAUCAUGAUUGUCCUAGAGUAGGGCGGGACACGAGAAAUCCUGUCUGAACAUGGGGAGACCACUCUCCAAGCCUAAGUACUCG
rnacentral:rRNA from 1 species